rnacentral:rRNA from 1 species
CGGACGGGUGAGUAAUGUAUGGGGAUCUGCCUGAUGGCGGGGGAUAACUACUGGAAACGGUAGCUAAUACCGCAUAAUGUCGCAAGACCAAAGAGGGGGACCUUCGGGCCUCUUGCCAUCGGAUGUGCCCAGAUGGGAUUAGCUAGUAGGUGGGGUAACGGCUCACCUAGGCGACGAUCCCUAGCUGGUCCGAGAGGAUGACCAGCCACACUGGAACUGAGACACGGUCCAG